rnacentral:lncRNA from 1 species
AGCAGCACCCUCAGAGUGGUGGCCUCAGGAGUCCCAGGCAGCUCCGGCCCUCCCCAGACAGGAGUGGGAGAGGCUUCGGGGAUGCACCUUCAUGUCCACAACGUCAGGCAGUUUAAGCAAGUGUGGAAGACAGAAGCCACAGGAAACCCUGAGCUCCUCCCCAGCAGUCUACGCGGAGUGUCCCCCAAUCCUGUGUCCUGAAGAAGUGGACUGCUGACCCUCCUCAGACCCUCCUGACGGGCAGUGCUGGGAGAGGCUGUCUCCGUUCUACCACCCACCACCAGGAGGAAAAGAAAUCGCAGGGAGCAGGGUGCCUCCCGGCUAUGUGACACUGCACUGCGGUGUAUGAGCUACUUUGAACCCAAGCACACCCUGUAGGCUGUGCUGCCUUAGCCUGUUGCGGUCCCCCCACUGAUUUCAGGAACUGCUGCGGUGGAGCAGAAUGAGUUGUUAAUGGUCAGUGACCUCCUGGCCUUCCAGAGGCCUGAGCAUUUUUCAGCAGCACCCAGGGCCGUGUACAGCCUCGUAGGCAUCACAGCAGAUGAAGCUCCCCUGGGCACCUCUGGGCACCAGACAGGCACAGACCAGUACGCCCUGGAGCCAGUGACAUCAGCAUCUAGCAGGACAGCUGGACCUGAACAAAUGCAAGCUGGGGCACCCCCAGCAGAAGCGUGCACAAAAUGCAGUUUGCCGGGGACGAAGGCUUUCUCAUCCCGCCUGUGUGCUAGCUCUGCUUUCUAAAACACUUCAGUAUCCAGACGGACAAAUGUCUCUGCUUUAUUCUUUCCUUUUUUUCUUUUUCAAGGAUUUUAUUUACUUAUUCAUGAGAGACACACAGAAAGAGCAGAGACAUGGGAAGAGGGAGAAGCA